rnacentral:rRNA from 1 species
UACGUAGGUGACAAGCGUUGUCCGGAUUUACUGGGCGUAAAGAGCGCGCAGGCGGUCGUUCAAGUCGAGUGUGAAAGCCCCCGGCUCAACUGGGGAGGGUCACUCGAUACUGAUCGACUCGAAGGCAGGAGAGGGAAGUGGAAUUCCCGGGUGUAGUGGUGAAAUGCGUAGAUAUCGGGAGGAACACCAGUGGCGAAGGCGACUUCCUGGCCUGUUCUUGACGCUGAGGCGCGAAAGCUAGGGGAGCAAACGGGGAU